GGAGAAGGAGUGGAGGAGGGAGAUGAGCGCGCUCACUCAGCAUCAGCAACACACACACACACGCACAAAGAGGUCGGAGAGCUGGCUCGUGAAUGGGAGAUGACGGAGCGCUGCAGGACGCGCUCAGAACAGGACUGAUACUCGCAUCCAUCAUACACACAGGGAGUGUCAAGGUGCAGCAACAGGUGAUUAGAAAGCCACCUGCGGAAGACUGAUCCCAUGUUCCCUAAGGUUUUCCUGCAGUGGUAUGCGGCAUUUUCCUCUUGCGCAGCUAAAAUAGGUAAAGGUGCACUUCCACGCACCAAGCAUUGCAUCAUUAUGUCCGCCUGCAUGCUGCAGCAUUGCACAUUCGCUGUAAAGCCGCUCCACUGCAGCUUGGGCUGUAGCUUGCCAUUAAGACAUGACAGGAUAUUCAGAAAUGUAUUGCACUGUUUAAAAAACAAUUCCUGUAAAAAGUGGUCAGAAAGGAGGAUAUUAAUUUGUCAUGUGGAAAGAAAGUGUAAGUAAACCAUUUAAUAUUACAGCAAUUACAUUCUCAGGAAAAGAAUCUAGUAAGGAAUAAAACACGAUGGGACCGUGCCGUCAUACGAAUAAUAAUACACACUGAGGUGGUAUGAUAUGGCCUGAGCGUGUAACAGCACCAAAUCGAUAUUGCCUUCGAUUACAAUUUUUGAUUUAUUAAUGAAUGAAUAUAGUACUUGGUUUAAAUGGUUUAUAGUUACAACAAUUUUGCCAAUUCAAGUAGAUUUCUGGAAAAUAAAAAACACAAAAAACUCCACAAACUGCAUAAAAAAUUUAGGAAGAAAAGCCACAGCAAAAUCAAGCAUUUUAAUCACACAAAAAUCACACACAAAAAAUGUACAAUAAGAUUAUGUAGAGAAUCCACCCAUCAAAAUCCCUGUGCACGAGCUGUCACUAUAGAAACAUAUUAGUUAACAUAUACUAUAUUAGAAAGAGUGUAUUAAUAUAAAUCUAUUGUUCAUGUUCAUGUCCAAACCGUGCAUUUAUAUAGCAUUAAUCCACAGCUUCUGACCAAUCCAUCCAUCCAUCUUCUAUACUGCGUAUCCUACUGGGUCACAAGGAACCUGGAGCCUAUCCCAGGGAGCAGGAGGCACAAGGCAGGGUACACCCUGGACAGGAUGCCAAUCCAUCGCAGGGCACAAUCACAUACACGUUCACACACUACAGACACUUUGGACAUGCCAAUCAGGGGGAGGAAACCGGAGUACCCAGAGGAAACACAACGCUGGGAAUCGAACCCCCAACCCUGGAGGUGUGAGGCGAACGUACUAACUAACAGUAAGUUAGCAGCUGGUAAAUUGACACAGAUAGUCUGCUAAAUAUUACGGUAACCUUUACCUUUGAGGAAAACGGAUUAUUCAAGUUGUCAUUCUAUCAAUUAUUAUUGUAAUAAAACCGCACACAAUGUUAUAUUACGGUAAAUACUUUCAGGAACAAAACAGACAAUUACCGUCUUAACUGUCCUUUCAUCACUAUUAUUUUGAAAUCUUACAGAAUUACAACAGAUUUGAGAAGAGAAAAUGCAUGAAUCUGCUUUACUGCAUUACCCAUAAAUAAGCAGUAUAUGUUCAAAAGCACAAAGGGUUCCAGCACUAUCGGCUUCGAAUAAUAGAUUGUAAAUCAGGAGUCGGAAAACAAAUGUAACACAAAGUGAAAUAAACUUGUGAACUGAUAAUUAUAGCUGUUUAUUUUUUAAACGUGAUAUGGAAGAAAAAAACAUAGAGAACCCUGCUGGAAAAAAAACUCCAUUAGAAAUCCUCAUAGAAUUUGUAAUGAUUUUAAUGGUUAAAAUAUGAAUUGUUUUAUAAUAGGAAUUGUACUGGUUUUAAUGGAAACUGUAAUGGUCCCUGUAAUGGGUCUCUACUGGUAAUUUGUUGCCUUCUAUUGGUGGUAUGUUAUGUCUAUUGGAAACCAUUAAGGACCAGUAAUGGUUUUAAUGGUUAUAAUUGGAAUUGUACUGGUUUCAAUGGAAACUGUAGUGGUCCCUGUAAUGGGUCUCUACUGGUAAUUUGUUGCCUUCUAUUGGUGGUAUGUUAUGUCUAGUGGAAACCAUUAAGGACUGGUAAUGGUUUUAAUGGUUAUAAUGGGCAUUGUACUGGUUUUAAUGGAAACUGUAAUGGUCCCUGUAAUGGGUCUCUACUGGUAAUCUGUUGCCUUCUAUUGGUGGUAUGUUAUGUCUAGUGGAAACCAUUAAGGACCAGUAAUGGUUUUAAUGGUUAUAAUGGGAAUUGUACUUUUUAAUGGAAAUUGUAAUGGUCCCUGUAAUGGGUCUCUACUGAUAAAUUGUUGCCUUCUAUUGGUGGUAUGUUAUGUCUAGUGGAAACCAUUAAGGACCAGUAAUGGUUAUAAUGGGAAUUGUACUGGUUUUAAUGGAAACUGUAAUGGUCCCUGUAAUGGGUCUCUACUGGUAAUUUGCUGCCUUCUAUUGGUGGCAUGUUAUGUCUAGUGGAAACCAUUAAGGACCAGUAAUGGUUUUAAUGGUUAUAAUGGGAAUUGUACUGGUUUUAAUGGAAACUGUAAUGGUCCCUGUAAUGGGUCUCUACUGAUAAAUUGUUGCCUUCUAUUGGUGGUAUGUUAUGUCUAGUGGAAACCAUUAAGGACCAGUAAUGGUUAUAAUGGGAAUUGUACUGGUUUUAAUGGAAACUGUAAUGGUCCCUGUAAUGGGUCUCUACUGGUAAUUUGUUGACUUCUAUUGGUGGCAUGUUAUGUCUAGUGGAAACCAUUAAGGACCAGUAAUGGUUUUAAUGGUUAUAAUGGGAAUUGUACUGGUUUUAAUGGAAACUGUAAUGGUCCUUGUAAUGGGUCUCUACUGGUAAUUUGUUGUCUUCUAUUGGUUGCAUGAAAUUUAAAUAUCUAGUGGAUUCCAUUAAGGACCAAUAAUGGUAAUGGUAAUGGCCUUGUGGUAUUUCUAGUGGAAACCAUUGGAAUUACUAUGACGGUUUAUGUUGUUUUUUCAGCAGGGAAUACUAUUUGACAUUUAAUAAAUGAUACACGGGGUUUUAUGCCGAAUAAACUUGAGAAAACCAAAAAAAACAUGCAAGAUGAAGAAACCAAGUAGAAAACACUGAAACUAAACACAAACUGGAAAUAUGUACAUAAGCAUUAAUCAAAUAUAAACAGGCAGGGAAGGCAAAAAAGUAAGUCAAUAAAUAUUAAGGAGGCGGAGAAAACUAAACAAAAAACAGAGAUAGAAGCACAAGGAAUCAGAACUCGGAGGAAGCGUCGAGGGCGUGUCAUGGUGGAUGUGCGCAUUACGUAUCGGAUUACACUGCUAAGGUUUCUCUCCUCUUCCAUUCAAAUUCUCAGUGAGCAAGCGAACUGCCGGCUUUUCGAUAGACUGCGACUUGUUUGUGUUUUUCCUCGACAUUUCUCAUCUUCAUAAGGAAAAGGCUUUCGUUGAAUUAUUUAUAAAGUAUAUAUAAGUCUUAUAAACUCAUAUUCACUGAUGGAACUGAAGAUGUCUGAAGCACAAUGAUUUGGAAAAAGACAUAAUUAGCUGAUACUCUGGUUUGUCUAACUGACACCAAAGGAAUAAGCAAAGCCAUAAUGAUAAUAAUAAUAAUAACAAUAGUAAUAAUAAUAAUAAUAAUACACUAUCAAUCUCCAAUAUUUUUUGGUCCCUUAAAAUGGAGCAUCUGGCCACAAGGGACAAAUGAACAACUAAACGAUUUAUUAUCUGCAUGAAAUGUGAUAAAGUGAACACGACAUGCUAAAUGAGCUCAGACGGAGACGGUUAGGACAGCAACCUAAACAUAGUUGUUUUGACAAGCCACAAAUUUAACGGUGACUAGUAGUUAAACCUGUUUCUUUAAAAAAAAAUCUCAAAUUUAAAUUCAAACGUUUCCCCUGUGAAUGUACAGAUUGUUUAUUUCCAGUGUAUUACAGACCCAUGUAGUCGCCUGUCAUACUGUAUGUGAUGCUUUACAAUUGUAACUCAACUGUGGAGAAAUGGGGCUGCAGAAUUACAAAAUGCUUUCAUUACAGCAAGAAUGCCCACGAACUGAGCUGCGCUACACUCAUAAAGUCAUGCCGUUAUGCUUCUGCCAUGCCAGACCUGGUGUGUGUGUAUGGUGCAUAUCUGGUCAGGAACUACAGGAGCUGCACAAGUGCCAUAAAACAACCAGCUGCAUAGGAUGAUGUGACGUUUCCUUCCUGUGUCCUCAAUAUCUUUGUGUCUGGCUUAGAAUGUUCGUGUCUGUGUUGGCAUUUUUAGACUGAGGAAACAGUGAAGGGUUAAAAAAUUUACUUCCUGUUACAGGGAACAAGAAAGGCAGAAAUAGUGUGUCUGUGUGUGUGUGUGUGUGUGUGUGUGUGUGUGUGUGUGUGUGUGUGUGUGUGUGUGUGCACAUCUGUCUGUAUGACUGAGGAUCUGUUUCCUACUCCAAAGCACAUGCUGUUCUUUGUGCUUUCUAGCAUCAUCCCAUUCACAGCUUUUGCAGAAAACACACACACACACAUACACACACACACACACACACACACACACACACACACACACACACACAC
ensembl:lncRNA